CAACAACACGAUACACGCGGUUCUAUGUACUUAUGGCACGAAUGGUUCUGCGUUAUUCUACUUAUUAUAUUCAAAGGACAAGGAAUGGAAACCGUCGACCGUCUAUCAGGAAAUAUGGUGACGGGUUUGUUCAUCUCUUAAAUCUGGUGUCGCUCUAAGUGGUGUUAUGACAAUGGCAUGAGUCUUGCUGGGACAAGCUGAUUCGAGUUCAAAGGUGCAAGACUAAAAUGGUACGUUGUGGUUGUGCGCAGUACCCAGUACCAGGAUUUAGUUAACAGGAUUAUGUGGCAUAAAUAUCACAUUAAAAAAGUUACAAUUUGGCAAUUCCUCCACAAGAAAACACCGCCUUUUAGGUUGGCGACAGGAAUUUUUCUCGCCGUCUGUGCUCACCAUGCCUAAACUACGCGUCUGCGUUGAUGAUUUAGUGUGAUGUACUUUUACGGAAGCUAAAAACGGCUUGUAAUUGGAUUUAUCCGCCGGAAAUGGUGUUCCCGUAUAUCUACUGCACAGGAAUGUGAAAUCAGUCAGGGAAUAUUCUUGUAAAAAAUGCUAUCUUAGACAAUGUUUGUUAAAUGUUAGGCUUCUAAUUUCCCCAUGUUCUGUGAGAUGUGCCUUUCCACGUUGUCUACAGGGUAGCGCUAUUUCACUAUGUCAUUGCAAAAUUCGUAUAGAUUUUUAUUGGUUUCGCUAUAUAUAUAUAUAUAUAUAUAUAAAAUGAUGGUUGAAGGCUUUCAUAGAAAGUGCUCAAUACUCGAAAUCUCAGUGUUGAAUCGUUCGAGUAAAGGUACGAAAGGCUGACUUCGGUCAUUAUAUGUAAUUUGACGGUCAAAAUUCAAAAUCUUCAAAACUGUGUAUUUAUGAAUAAAAUGACUGGCAAUGA